CUGGCGGCGUGCUUAACACAUGCAAGUCGAGCGGAAAGGCCCUUUCGGGGGUACUCGAGCGGCGAACGGGUGAGUAACACGUGAGUAAUCUGCCCUUGGCUUUGGGAUAACUACCGGAAACGGUGGCUAAUACCGGAUACGACUGCUCCCGGCAUCGGGGUGGUGGAAAGUUUUUUCGGCCAGGGAUGUGCUCGCGGCCUAUCAGCUUGUUGGUGGGGUAAUGGCCUACCAAGGCUUCGACGGGUAGCCGGCCUGAGAGGGUGACCGGCCACACUGGGACUGAGACACGGCCCAGACUCCUACGGGAGGCAGCAGUGGGGAAUAUUGGACAAUGGGCGGAAGCCUGAUCCAGCAACGCCGCGCGAGGGAUGACGGCCUUCGGGUUGUAAACCUCUUUCAGUACCGACGAAGCGCCGAUGAUGGUGGUGACGGUAGGUACAGAAGAAGCACCGGCCAACUACGUG
rnacentral:rRNA from 1 species